AGUGAACGCUGGCGGUAGGCCUAACACAUGCAAGUCGAACGGCAGCACAGUAAGAGCUUGCUCUUACGGGUGGCGAGUGGCGGACGGGUGAGGAAUACAUCGGAAUCUACUUUUUCGUGGGGGAUAACGUAGGGAAACUUACGCUAAUACCGCAUACGACCUACGGGUUAAAGCAGGGGAUCUUCGGACCUUUCGCGAUUGAAUGAGCCGAUGUCGGAUUAGCUAGUUGGCGGGGUAAAGGCCCACCAAGGCAACGAUCCGUAGCUGGUCUGAGAGGAUGAUCAGCCACACUGGAACUGAGACACGGUCCAGACUCCUACGGGAGGCAGCAGUGGGGAAUAUUGGACAAAGGGCGCAAGCCUGAUCCAGCCAUACCGCGUGGGUGAAGAAGGCCUUCGGGUUGUAAAGCCCUUUUGUUGGGAAAGAAAAGCAGCAGGUUAAUACCCCGCUGUUCUGACGGUACCCAAAGAAUAAGCACCGGCUAACUUCGUG
rnacentral:rRNA from 1 species